rnacentral:rRNA from 1 species
CGGAGGCAGCAGUGAGGAAUCUUCCGCAAUGGGCGAAAGCCUGACGGAGCAACGCCGCGUGAGUGAAGAAGGCCUUCGGGUCGUAAAGCUCUGUUAUUGGGGACGAACGUAUCCUAUGUAAAUAAUGUAGGGUAGUGACGGUACCCAAGGAGGAAGCCACGGCUAACUACGUGCCAGCAGCCGCGGUAAUACGUAGGUGGCAAGCGUUGUCCGGAAUUAUUGGGCGUAAAGCGCGCGUAGGUGGGAUAAUAAGUCGUUUGUAAAAGUGCGGGGCUCAGCCCCGUAAUGCGGAAGAAACUGUUAUUCUUGAGUGCAGGAGAGGAAAGCGGAAUUCCCAGUGUAGCGGUGAAAUGCGUAGAUAUUGGGAGGAACACCAGUGGCGAAGGCGGCUUUCUGGACUGUGUCUGACACUGAGGCGCGAAAGCCAGGGGAGCGAACAGGAUUAGAUACCCCAGUAGUC